rnacentral:rRNA from 1 species
GUAAGACUUUCGGGAUCUUGACAGCGGUGUAUGCUGCGGAACACGUGCGCAGCCUGCCUUUAUCUGGGGGAUAGCCUUUCUAAAGGAAGAUUACUACCCCAUCCUAUGUUGGAUGGCCUCGUUCCACAUUGAAAACUCCGGUGGAUACAGAUGGGCACACUCAAGAUUAGAUAGUUGGUGAGGUAACGGCUCACCAAGUCUGGGAUCUUUAGGGGGCCUGAGAGGGUGAUCCCCCACACUGGUACUGAUACUCGGACCAUACUCCUACAGGAGGCAACGCUGACGCAUAUUGGACAAUGGGUGAGAGCCUGAUCCAACCGUCCCGCGUGAAGGACGACGGCCCUAUGGGUUGUAAACUUCUUUUGUAUAGGGAUAAACCUACUCUCGUGAGAGUAGCUGAUGGUACUAUACGAAUAAACACCGGCUAACUCCGUGCCACCUUUCGCGGUAGUACAGAGGGUGCAAGCGUUAUCCGGAUUUAUUGGGUUUAAGGGUCUGUAGGCGGAUCU